GUAAAAAAUCAACCACUGAAAAUCUAUAGAACAUAAUUCUUCUCUGACACACAUGGGGUCACCAUGAGUCAGGGUCAACUCGACAGUAACUGGUACUGCUGUUGGUUAGAUGAUCUUUGAGUUUCUUUGUAUAGGCUUCUUCUCUCACAGGGCUUCUCGAAAUUAGCACUUACUGAUAUUUUGGACUAAAUAAUUCUUCGUUGUGGGGGCCUUCCUGUGUAUUGAAGGAUGUUUAGCAGCAUCGCAGGCCUUUACCCACUAGAUGCCAGUAGCAGCCAUCACCCUCACCCUUGCCAGUUGUAAAAACCAAAAAUGUUUCCAGGCAUUGCAAAAAUUCCCUGGGAAUAACAUCUCCCCGAGUUGAGAACCACUGGGCUAGAUUGUAAGCUCUUCAUUUUCAGGGACUGUGACUUGUUCUUUUUUAUUUUCUUCAUAGCAUCCAGCAUUGGUGCCUGGCACAUAGCAAAAAUUCAACAAAUAGCUCUUAAAUAAGACCUCACUAAUCUCCUCACCAUCACAUUACACUGGGUUGUACUUUUCAGUAACUUGUUCUUUCACGUGGUGUUUCAUAACUCGAUGCUGGCCACACAGAAAGCUAAGUUGACCAUGACCUUUUAACUAGGUGGAAUAGCAAAGUUCAAGAAUGCUGAGCUUCUGGGGCUUUAGCUAACAUUUGCAGUAGGUCAUAAGUCUAAUCUUUUGUUCCAAGUUUAUUAAAAAGAAAUAAUCAUAAAAUAAAAGCUUAUCUGAAGUGAAGAGUCAAACCAUGAGAUGCUAAAUGAAAUGGUUAAAAACUCUGGUGUUCAAACGUUUUUGUUUGUUUGUUUUGGUUAUGGGGCUGAGCAGACUUUAGUGGCAGACAAACCUGGAAACAAAUCAUUGCUCCAUUAUCUUGUAGCAACAACAUGAUUCUGAGCAAUUACUCUGGCACUUUAUCUGGAAAAUGUAGGCAUUAAAGCCUGUCUCCUAGAAAAGGCAGGUCCCCAUCUCUACCAACAUAGCGCUUACCAUACACCAGGCACUGUACUAAGAUCUUUAUAUAUGUUAUCACUGAGGUAGUUCCUAUUAUUAUCCCCAAUUUACAGAAUAAGAAACUGAGAAAUAGAGAGGUUCAGUAAUUUGUCCAAAGUCUCAUAAAGAAAAAGCAGCUGAGCCAGAAUUCAAACCCACAGAAUUUGGCUUAGAGCCCAUGAGCAUACAAUGAGACCAUUCUUGUGGAUUAGAAAACAAAAUAAGAAAGCUGAGGCAAAGCACCUGGAACAUAGCAGUUACUGACCUUUUCCCUCACUGAGUUCCCUGUCACUCCUUUGGGUAAACAGAUGGAAACAGAUAUGGUUCUCCCUCUGAAGACAAAAUGGGGGACGAAGGCAAAGUAAUGGAAAGCUGAUCUUCAGCCCCCAGCUCCUCUGUUCUGAGCCCAGUCUCUACUCUGGCCUCAAAGGCAGACGUUCCCACUAGAGUCUAUUCUGUGCUCUGGUGGGCUCUCUCACCUGCUAUCAAGACACCAGCUCUCAGGAGGGGCUCUGAAACUCGUUCUAGGUAAGGUAUAAACAACUGCUGUAACAAUAAACAUGUUGUACUGCAGUCCUUCUUGCAGAGGCAUUUACAAGUUUGACACCUUAAAUGACACCUUAAACUUACAUACAUAGAACUUUGAAGGUGGUAUCAGUAGCAGGCAGGAAUGAGAUCUAGGGACUAGGAAAAGGCCUGCCCCAAAUCACCAAACUCACAACCAUACAUGGCCACAUACCUGGCACAUUUAAGCAGAGUGGAUUAUAAAGCCAUUGACUUUCAUCUUGGGUACUUUUGCUCCCUUCUGUAGACUAGAAUUUAGGAGGACGCUUUUAAAAAAUAUCUGUUGUUUUCCUGAUUUAAUAGCAAAGACAGAUGCCUUCAGAUAUAAAGUACAGACCUAUCCUUUAAUUAUGAUGAGGUUUUGUUCUAUCUCUCCUGAAGAGCAGCAACAGAGAUGCUGACAUCUGCCUUAUUUACUGACGCAUCCCUUCUGCCCAGCACCAGUUAAACCAGUUGCUAUAAAGUCCACUUGGACUCUUGGCAACCCCAUGUGUGUCAGAGUAGAACUGUGCUCCAUAGGGUUUUCAAUGGCUGAUUUUUUGGAAGUGGAUUGCCAGGCCUUUCUUCCAAGGCACCUCUGAGUGGACUCCAACCUCUAACCUCUCCGUCUGCAGCUGAGCAGCUACCGUUUGCACCACCCAGGGACACAGUUGCUAGCAAAUAGUUGGUGACCAGUAAAUGAUUGUUGAGUGAAUAAAAGAAAAACUGUGAAAGCCGAACGGCUCCCUGGAGUUCUCGUGUUUGGCAUGGCUCUGUAAGGCACUUCGCCUCUUUAUCUAUAGAGUAUUGGAACAAAAUUUAUUCCAAAGCAGAUAUUAAGGAUUAUUAGAUUCCAGGUCAUUUUCAGUUUACUGUAUCACAGGUGUUCCAGGUCAGUGAGUAAAUGGAGGGCUCACUUCCACACAUAAACUGUGAUUAGAGAAGAAAUUCUUUGAAUCCUUCUGCAGAAAAAACAAAUUUGCUUCUUUGAAAAAUUAUCAAUUUAGGCAGAUACUCAUGCAUAUCAAGAGCCUUUGCCAGAGAGACUAAAAUGCCCCCAAGAUGGGCAAUGACUGUUUGCCUGCGGAAGGAAACGUGGUGAUCUUCAGUGCUGAGAGACAUCACAGGAAGAAACCGGAGUUUCCUCUCCCAGGCUUAAAUCUGCGCUGCUGGGCUCAUCUGCUUCUUAUCUCCAGAGAAGAAGAUGAAGAAAUUAGGUGAAAAUGGUGGUAGAGAGAAGAUAAAAGUAACACCUCCUUGGUAGCAUUUUUUGGCUUUCUCCUUGUCAGCAAUUCUCAUUAUUUUACCCAGAAGAAAAUGGAGCCGUAUCCAGCAGCAGGAGAUGGCAGAAGAAAACAGGUGGAAAGAAUCAUGGCUGCACUCUGCAGGGAGUACAGGAGACAGCCCUCAGUUCUUCAGCGGAGCUCAAGUCACAAAAACACACACACAUCUUUGAAGUGAAAUCAUAGCUCGCCCAAGACGUUUCUCACAGGC